rnacentral:rRNA from 1 species
UAAUACGUAGGUCCCGAACGUUGCGCGAAAUUACUGGGCGUAAAGCGCAUGGAGGCGGUCUGAUAAGUCGGAUGUGAAAUCCCUGGGCUUAACCUAGGAACGGCAUUCGAUACUGUCAGGCUAGAGUAGGACAGAGGAGAGGGGAAUUCCGCGUGUAGCAGUGAAAUGCGUAGAGAUGCGGAGGAACACCGAUGGCGAAGGCACCUCUCUGGAUCCAUACUGACGCUCAGAUGCGAAAGCGUGGGGAGCAAACAGGAUUAGAUACCCUGGUAGUCCACGCCCUAAACGAUGUCGACUGGUCGUUGGGAAGGCUUAACUUCUCAGUGACGUAGCUAACGUGGUAAGUCGACCGCCUGGGGAGUACGGCCGCAAGGUUG